CAUGCAAGUCGAACGAGAGAUGAAGAGCUUGCUCUUCAAAUCGAGUGGCGAACGGGUGAGUAACGCGUGAGGAACCUGCCUCAAAGAGGGGGACAACAGUUGGAAACGACUGCUAAUACCGCAUAAGCCCACGGCUCGGCAUCGAGCAGGGGGAAAAGGAGCAAUCCGCUUUGAGAUGGCCUCGCGUCCGAUUAGCUAGUUGGUGAGGUAACGGCCCACCAAGGCGACGAUCGGUAGCCGGACUGAGAGGUUGAACGGCCACAUUGGGACUGAGACACGGCCCAGACUCCUACGGGAGGCAGCAGUGGGGAAUAUUGCACAAUGGGGGAAACCCUGAUGCAGCGACGCCGCGUGGAGGAAGAAGGUCUUCGGAUUGUAAACUCCUGUUGUUGAGGAAGAUAAUGACGGUACUCAACAAGGAAGUGACGGCUAACUACGUGCCAGCAGCCGCGGUAAAACGUAGGUCACAAGCGUUGUCCGGAAUUACUGGGUGUAAAGGGAGCGCAGGCGGGAGAACAAGUUGGAAGUGAAAUCCAUGGGCUCAACCCAUGAACUGCUUUCAAAACUGUUUUUCUUGAGUAGUGCAGAGGUAGGCGGAAUUCCCGGUGUAGCGGUGGAAUGCGUAGAUAUCGGGAGGAACACCAGUGGCGAAGGCGGCCUACUGGGCACCAACUGACGCUGAGGCUCGAAAGUGUGGGUAGCAAACAGGAUUAGAUACCCUGGUAGUCCACACCGUAAACGAUGAUUACUAGGUGUUGGAGGAUUGACCCCUUCAGUGCCGCAGUUAACACAAUAAGUAAUCCACCUGGGG
rnacentral:rRNA from 1 species